UGUCGAAUCCUGCAAAAGUAGAACGCGAACACGUUAAACCAUAUCGGGACCGCGGGUCUUUGGGAGACCUUUUGCCCGCGCCCAUCCCUCGCAUGGCGCGCGUCUAGGCGCGCGUGGUGCGGGCUAACGAACCCCGGCGCGACAAGCGCCAAGGAAAACUCAUAGAAGCGUCGGCCUCCUUUCGCCCCGUUCGCGGUGUGCGGUGGGUGAACCGAUGUCUCUCCAAUGUCAUAACGACUCUCGGCAACGGAUAUCUCGGCUCUCGCAUCGAUGAAGAACGUAGCGAAAUGCGAUACUUGGUGUGAAUUGCAGAAUCCCGUGAACCAUCGAGUCUUUGAACGCAAGUUGCGCCCGAAGCCAUUCGGCCGAGGGCACGUCUGCCUGGGCGUCACGCAUCGCGUCGCCUCCCACACCCAGACCCCAAGGGGUGAUUGGGCGGUGGGGGCGGAAAUUGGCCCCCCGUUCGAUUUUCCGCGCGGCCGGCCUAAAUUCGAACCCGUGGCGACUCACGUCACGACCAGUGGUGGUUGAACACUCAACUCUCGUGCUGUCUGUCGUGCCGUUUGAGUUGGCCRUUGGCUUCGUCGCAGACCCAAUGGCGCGAUCCUAUCGCGCCUU
rnacentral:rRNA from 1 species